rnacentral:rRNA from 1 species
UGAGGAAUAUUGGGCAAUGCCCGCAAGGGUGACCCAGCAACGCCGCGUGGAGGAUGAAUGUCGUAAGAUUGUAAACUCCUGUUAGAGGGGAAGAAUAGUACCGGUUGGACCGGUAUAUGACUGUACCCUCAGAGAAAGCCCCGGCUAACUACGUGCCAGCAGCCGCGGUAAUACGUAGGGGGCAAGCGUUGUCCGGAUUUACUGGGUGUAAAGGGCGCGCAGGCGGGAUAAAAAGUCAGUGGUGAAGUCCUACAGCUUAACUGUAGAGCUGCCUUUGAUACUUUUAUUCUUGAGUUCGGGAGAGAGAGACGGAAUUCCAGGUGUAGUGGUGAAAUACGUAGAUAUCUGGAAGAACACCAGUUGCGAAGGCGGUCUCUUGGUCCGACACUGACGCUGAGGCGCGAAAGCGUGGGGAGCAAACA